rnacentral:lncRNA from 1 species
AUGGAAAAGGUUCUUACUUUCAUGAUGCAAGAUGAAGAUUCGUGGUACAAAGGAGUAAAUAGAUUCCUGCACAGUGCAUCAAACCAAACCAAAGAGACAAAAGACUUUUUUGGCCAGAGGAAGAGGAAGGGUGUCCCUCAAAACAAACAUUACAUACAACACAGAGUGUUGGGGGGAAAUUGGAGAGUUGCAAAGCAAAUGAGGCCACAUGCUCAAAACAGCAUUUUAAAAAAGUGCAUUGAAAUGAAGCUGAUUAGAUUCUUCUGGACACAGUUCGAGCAUCACCUCUCUAGAAGCAUAACUUGUUGUGACCCCCAUCACCAUCAGUGCAAAAUGAUGUACAGUCAAGUGGCAAAUCAUGAGGUCAGUUCCAAGGGGUGGGAGCCAGGAGGGGCUGAGCAGAAAGGGAGACCAGAACAUCCAGCUUCUAAUUUCCUCUGUUCCUCCCAACAGGAAACUCAGAAGCCUUCAAUACUAGGGUUGGAUGUGAAUGCCUUCUCACAAGUUGGUGUGAGGCCUGAGCGGGACCUGGUACCUCGUAUGCUGCCUACAUGAAAUCACGUCCGUCCACGGUGCUGACGAUGCUGCAGGUGAGGAUUCGCAGGCCACGAUUCUGAUGACAGCACCACUAUCCACCCCUUCCUCCAUCCCUCCCCCUCAGCAUUCCGUCCUCAGCAAGUGAACGGAUCUUGCCCUGCCCUCCCCAAGCAUCGCCCCGUUCGACCACCUGCUCUCCUUUCCCCAACCCAGCUGACUAAAGCGCUGGAGAAGACAGACCCCAGUCUGUCAGGAUCCCCCACCCCUGGAGAUAGGACGUUGGGCAAGGGACUUGAUAUCCCUGAGCCUCUGUAACUGUGCUGCUUCUUACCUUACUAGGUACUGUGAGAUUUAGUGAGACUGUGAAUCAGUUAACCCAGAGCCAGGCCCAGAGCAAACAUUAGCUUCUGUGUUCAUCUUCUUGGACUGGGCCUGCUGCUCAGCCCUGGGGCCAGAGCUGGGAAAGACGCGGGCACUGCUUCCAGGCCUCCACACUCAGGUGUGGGAGAUGGACACCUGCAUAGCAGCUGGAACUCAGGGUGCCAGAGGCGGCUGUAGGGGCCGCUCCAGGAGGCCUCCCAGAGGGGUCCACACUGGGAGGUGGGCAGGGGGUGCCGGGUGGCAUUGCGGGCUGAGCACUGCACACACGAGCAGAGACACUGAAGCCUGUUCCAAACACACCCCGAUGCUAAAGCCGCCAACCCAAGUUGCUUGCAGGAGUCUGAAGAGAGA